GGCUUUUUGGAUAGGAAAAAGCCAAACCGACACCAUGUAUUCUUAUGGAUGUAUGAGUCAUCUCACUGUAGGCGGGAUGUGUUUCUCUUACGCAGAACGUACUUUAUUUUAUGCUUUGUCAGUGUAAUCUCCAAUUUCAUUCGCAUGUAUAUUAUUACUCUUUUCCUGGUCUUGCAGAUGCAUCAUGUCUAGCUUCUCAGCCUUGCAAAUUAGAGGUUUUGAUUGAUACAUGAAUAUUAUUGGAAUAUUUCGUGCAUUGAAAAUACU
rnacentral:lncRNA from 1 species